GGCUGUCGUGGUUCUGCCCGACGUAGUCGUUGGAAUGCCGUCUCGGGGAGGGUAUUACUAAUGUUAAAAUGGGUUAUUAUACUAACACGUGUGCAUUGUUUAUUUAAUUAGAUUAUAACCAGGAAGUCACAAAGGAAAGCCCUAUAACAGCGAUUAUGUUGAGGUAACUUAGUGUGAAGCCAAUAAAAGCCAGCUGGAGAGCACUGAAGGCUUGGAAAAGUGGCAAUAAAGUUACCUAAAAUAAAAUAGAUGUUUUUAUUAAAUUAAAUAGGAUUUAUUCCUAUGAAAAUGUGUGUACUGCAAACUUGGGUUUUAUCCCAUGUGUUUAAUAUUAUGAAAAUGUGGUAUUUACU
rnacentral:lncRNA from 1 species